UGACUUAUUUUCAGUAUGGAAAGCUUAAG
rnacentral:piRNA from 1 species